AUUGAACGCUGGCGGUAGGCCUAACACAUGCAAGUCGAGCGGUUGCAUCGAUCUUGCUCCUGGAUUCAGCGGCGGACGGGUGAGUAAUGCCUAGGAAUCUGCCUCGUAGUUUGGGAUUACGUCCUGAUACGGGCUCUACUACCGCAUACGUCCUGUGUUAGCAAGUGGGGGAUCUUCGUACCUUACGCUAUUAGAUGAUCAUAGGUCGUAUUAGCUAUUUGGUGUGUUAAUGGCCUACCAGGGCGACGAUCCGUACCUGGUCUGAGAGGAUGAUCAGUCACACAGGAAGUGAGACACGGUCCAGACUCCUAAGGGAGGAAGCAGUGGGGAAUAUUGGACGAAGGGCGAAAGCCGGAUCCAGCCAAGCCGCGUGUGUGAAGAAGGUCUUAGGAUUGUAAAGCACUUUAAGUUGGGAGGAAGGGAAGUAAGUUAAUAACUGGAUGUUUUGACGGUACCAAAAGAAUAAGCACCGGCUAACUUCGUG
rnacentral:rRNA from 1 species